rnacentral:rRNA from 1 species
CACGUAGGGUCCGAGCGUUGUCCGGAAUUACUGGGCGUAAAGCGCGCGCAGGCGGUCCAUUCAGUCGCUGGUGAAAGCCCCACGCUCAACGUGGGAAGGUCCGGCGAGACGGGUGGACUGGAGGCAGGGAGAGGUCGGUGGAAUUCCGGGUGUAGUGGUGAAAUGCGUAGAGAUCGGGAGGAACAUCCGUGGCGAAGGCGGCCAUCUGGAUCAACACUGACGCUGAGGCACGAAAGCGUGGGGAGCAAACAGG